CCAACUUUAAUCAGCAAUUUAAAAUAAUUUAAAGCAAUUUAGUAUUCGUGAUAGAGUGAGAGUUGCGCACAAGAUUCGUUGCCCUGAUAGGGCUUAUCGCAUCUCGGACCUCAGCUUGACUUUAGUCUCGAUUUGUCCGCCAAUAUAAGCGCACAUCAGCAUGAAACACUUGCGCCUCUUUCUCGUUUUAUUAUUAGUCUGGUUAGCCAGUGCCCAAAACUUUUUAGGCGAUUUGCCUACGAUCCCGAACGUGUGCCACCUGCAGGGAGACUGGUGCUCCACCAGGUGCCAGAUAGCAGGCGGACGGGAUGGCAUUUGCAACCCGGCUGGACUCUGCACUUGUCAUCCCUUGUGAUUGUGUG